rnacentral:rRNA from 1 species
UACGGGAGGCAGCAGUAAGGAAUAUUGGUCAAUGGACGCAAGUCUGAACCAGCCAUGCCGCGUGGAGGAUGAAGGUCCUCUGGAUUGUAAACUUCUUUUAUCUGGGAAGAAACCCCUUGAUUCUUCGAGGGUUGACGGUACCAGAUGAAUAAGCACCGGCUAACUCCGUGCCAGCAGCCGCGGUAAUACGGAGGGUGCAAGCGUUAUCCGGAUUCACUGGGUUUAAAGGGUGCGUAGGUGGAUUGCCAAGUCCGUGGUGAAAUCUCCGAGCUUAACUCGGAAACUGCCGUGGAUACUGGUAGUCUUGAAUACCGUGGAGGUUAGCGGAAUAUGUCAUGUAGCGGUGAAAUGCUUAGAUAUGACAUAGAACACCAAUUGCGAAGGCAGCUGGCUACACGAAUAUUGACACUGAGGCACGAAAGCGUGGGGAUCAAACAGGAUUAGAUACCCUGGUAGUCCACGCCCUAAACGAUGGAUACUCGACAUACGCGAUACACUGUGUGUGUCUGAGCGAAAGCA